GGCCUAAAAAGGCAGGACAUCUCCAAGCGGGGAUUAUAGCCACACGUGGGUCUGUAAUCUGCAUCUGGACCCAGGCCUUUACAGCUGGUGAGACAUCAAGGAGGCCAUGGUGUGAGAGAUCACGCGGAGGGACGUGGAUGACGUCAGGACUUGGGGUGAGCAUGCAACCUGUGAUCCCCAUGCCCAAAUCCUCAGUGAAUGACAGGAUGUGGCUGACCAAGUGGGAUCCAUUGGAUCACUGCUACGUCCCCAGUGUCUCUACUUUAGGGGUGGCUGUGUGUAUAUAAUAAAUGUUUUCAAAUGCUGAA